rnacentral:rRNA from 1 species
GCAGUAGGGUGCCAUCAAGAGG